UGAGGAAUAUUGCACAAUAGGCGCAAGCCUGAUGCAGCAACGCCGCGUGGACGAUGAAGGCCUUCGGGUUGUAAAGUCCUUUUCUGGGGGAAGACAUGGACGGUACCCCAGGAAUAAGUGUCGGCUAACUACGUGCCAGCAGCCGCGGUAAAACGUAGGACGCGAGCGUUAUCCGGAUUUACUGGGCGUAAAGCGCGUGCAGGCGGUCUGUUAAGUCGUGCGUGAAAGCUCCCUGGCUCAACCGGGAGAGGUCGUACGAGACUGGCAGGCUUGAGGGCAGCAGAGGAGUGUGGAAUUCCGGGUGUAGUGGUGAAAUGCGUAGAUAUCCGGAGGAACACCAGUGGCGAAGGCGACACUCUGGGCUGUACCUGACGCUAAGACGCGAAAGCAUGGGUAGCGAACGG
rnacentral:rRNA from 1 species